UACGUAGGGGGGCAAGCGUUGUCCGGAUUUAUUGGGCGUAAAGAGCGUGUAGGCGGCCAUGCAGGUCCGUUGUGAAAACUGGAGGCUUAACCUCCAGACGUCGAUGGAAACCGUAUGGCUAGAGUCCGGAAGAGGAGAGUGGAAUUCCUGGUGUAGCGGUGAAAUGCGCAGAUAUCAGGAAGAACACCCGUGGCGAAGGCGGCUCUCUGGGACGGUACUGACGCUGAGACGCGAAAGCGUGGGGAGCGAACAGG
rnacentral:rRNA from 1 species